AUCAACGCUGGCGGCGCGCUUAACACAUGCAAGUCGAACGAGAAAGGGGAGCAAUCCCUGAGUACAGUGGCGUACGGGUGAGUAACACGUGGAUGAUCUAUCUCUUAGUGGGGAAUAGCUCUGGGAAACCGGAGAUAAUACCGCAUAAGCUCGAGAGAGGAAAGCAGCAAUGCGCUGAGAGAGGAGUCCGCGGCCGAUUAGCUAGUUGGUAGGGUAANGGCCUACCAAGGCAAUGAUCGGUAGCCGGCCUGAGAGGGCACACGGCCACACUGGCACUGAAACACGGGCCAGACUCCUACGGGAGGCAGCAGUGGGGAAUCUUGCACAAUGGGGGCAACCCUGAUGCAGCGACGCCGCGUGAGUGAUGAAGCCC
rnacentral:rRNA from 1 species